rnacentral:tRNA from 1 species
GCCGGGAUGGUGAAAUUGGUAGACACGUACGUUUGAGGUGCGUAUGGCGCAAGCCUUGUGGGUUCAACUCCCACUCCCGGCACCA